AAUAAGGCUUUACUUAAAGCCUUAAACAUAAUUUGUAGAACUGCAU
rfam:Hymenolepis microstoma genomic scaffold, pathogens_HYM_scaffold_0003